UUCUACAAGCUCUCCAAGCAAGUACAAGUACAGGCAAUGGCGGAGGAAGUGUCUCCUUACAUUAUGACUAUGACAAGUAAAAAGGAGAAAACCAAUGAAGCAAUGAAAACUAAAAAGAGCCAAGGAUAAAAACAAAGGCGACUUUAGGAGCGCUAAAAUGGCAGAUAACCUAAAAUUCCCUGUUCCAAACAGCAUAGAGUUAAUGCUAACCAAAGUGAUAGUAACAGAAGUAACGUUACCUGUUUUUGUUUUUGUUUUUUUUGUCUGUUGACAGAAGUUACUGAAAGGUAGUCCAUGAUUGAUAAAUACAAACUCCAAGACAAACUUAGAACCACGGUCCAAUACAUUAACAGGAGUUGUACAGGAACAGCCAAUUUUUUUUUUGUAGAAGCUAAUGCUAGCAUUACCAGCACAACCCUGAACGGGCUCUGACCGCUCUCUCCAAGAGGAUGAUAAGGGAGAUAAAGCAGGUUGGAGACCUGAGAAUUAGUCCAGUAAGGGGACGUUGCGUUGUGAUGGUAACUCAGCUGCAUGGCCAUGUUGGAGGCACUCGGAGUAAAGAACUGAAUGAAGUACAAUGGAGUAUUAUGCACUUUGGAUACCUUAAGGAGGGUGUUCAAUGAAGGAGCCUCCUCUGCUUGAAAACAUGGAGUGACCAGCACAGUCUCCAGACUUAAUUGGGGUGUUCUAAACUUUUGACCGGUAGUGUUUAUAAACAUGCAAAAAGAAAUAUUAAACUUUGGGAGAACAGUCUGCCCUGCACCACCCACCACCCCAUCUGUGGCCACAGAAUCCCCACUAGCCCAUCUGGCACACUCCUCCUUGUCUGUCAAGUUGUCAACUCUACAAUCCUGUGACUGUGAGUACCACUGGACUGUGAUUUGUUCAUUUCAGUGAGGACACAACUUUCCCCAACUCAUGACCCUCAGUCUUGUCUCUGAACCCUUAUUUUGCCUCAUC